AUUGAACGCUGGCGGCAGGCCUAACACAUGCAAGUCGAGCGCGAAAGUCUUCGGAUGAGUAAAGCGGCGGACGGGUGAGUAAUGCAUGGGAAUCUGCCUGGUAGUGGGGGACAACGUUUCGAAAGAGACGCUAAUACCGCAUACGCCCUACGGGGGAAAGGGGGGGAUCUUCGGACCUCUCGCUAUCAGAUGAGCCCAUGUCAGAUUAGCUAGUUGGUAGGGUAAAGGCCUACCAAGGCGACGAUCUGUAACUGGUCUGAGAGGAUGAUCAGUCACACUGGAACUGAGACACGGUCCAGACUCCUACGGGAGGCAGCAGUGGGGAAUAUUGGACAAUGGGGGAAACCCUGAUCCAGCCAUGCCGCGUGUGUGAAGAAGGCCCUAGGGUUGUAAAGCACUUUCAGUGGGGAGAAAGGUUAUUCACCUAAUACGUGAGUAAAUUGAUGCUACCCACAGAAGAAGCACCGGCUAACUCAGUGCCAGCCGCCGCCGUAA
rnacentral:rRNA from 1 species